ACUAGCAGUAAGAGUUUGAUCCUGGCUCAGAACGAACGCUGGCGGCAGGCCUAACACAUGCAAGUCGAAACGCCCUAGCAAUAGGGAGUGGCAGACGGGUGAGUAACGCGUGGGAACCUUCCCAAUGGUACGGAAUAGCCCAGGGAAACUUGGAGUAAUACCGUAUAAUACCCGCAAGGGGAAAGAUUUAUCGCCAUUGGAUGGGCCCGCGUUGGAUUAGCUAGUUGGUGAGGUAAUGGCUCACCAAGGCGACGAUCCAUAGCUGGUCUGAGAGGAUGAUCAGCCACACUGGGACUGAGACACGGCCCAGACUCCUACGGGAGGCAGCAGUGGGGAAUCUUGCGCAAUGCGCGAAAGCGUGACGCAGCAACGCCGCGUGAGGGAAGACGGCCUUCGGGUUGUAAACCUCUUUCAGGAGGGACGAAGGUGCAGGCGCGAAUAGCGUCCUGUACUGACGGUACCUCCAGAAGAAGCUCCGGCUAACUACGUGCCAGCCGCCGCGGUAAUAC
rnacentral:rRNA from 1 species